UAAGGGCGCACGGUGGAUGCCUUGGCACUAGAAGCCGAUGAAGGACGUUACUAACGACGAUAUGCUUUGGGGAGCUGUAAGUAAGCUUUGAUCCAGAGAUUUCCGAAUGGGGAAACCCAGCAUGAGUUAUGUCAUGUUAUCGAUAUGUGAAUACAUAGCAUAUCAGAAGGCACACCCGGAGAACUGAAACAUCUUAGUACCCGGAGGAAGAGAAAGAAAAUUCGAUUCCCUUAGUAGCGGCGAGCGAAACGGGAAGAGCCCAAACCAACAAGCUUGCUUGUUGGGGUUGUAGGACACUCUAUACGGAGUUACAAAGGACGACAUUAGACGAAUCAUCUGGAAAGAUGAAUCAAAGAAGGUAAUAAUCCUGUAGUCGAAAAUGUUGUCUCUCUUGAGUGGAUCCUGAGUACGACGGAGCACGUGAAAUUCCGUCGGAAUCUGGGAGGACCAUCUCCUAAGGCUAAAUACUCUCUAGUGACCGAUAGUGAACCAGUACCGUGAGGGAAAGGUGAAAAGCACCCCGGAAGGGGAGUGAAAUAGAACCUGAAACCGUGUGCUUACAAGUAGUCAGAGCCCGUUAAUGGGUGAUGGCGUGCCUUUUGUAGAAUGAACCGGCGAGUUACGAUUUGAUGCAAGGUUAAGCAGUAAAUGUGGAGCCGUAGCGAAAGCGAGUCUGAAUAGGGCGUUUAGUAUUUGGUCGUAGACCCGAAACCAGGUGAUCUACCCUUGGUCAGGUUGAAGUUCAGGUAACACUGAAUGGAGGACCGAACCGACUUACGUUGAAAAGUGAGCGGAUGAACUGAGGGUAGCGGAGAAAUUCCAAUCGAACCUGGAGAUAGCUGGUUCUCUCCGAAAUAGCUUUAGGGCUAGCCUCAAGUGAUGAUUAUUGGAGGUAGAGCACUGUUUGGACGAGGGGCCCCUCUCGGGUUACCGAAUUCAGACAAACUCCGAAUGCCAAUUAAUUUAACUUGGGAGUCAGAACAUGGGUGAUAAGGUCCGUGUUCGAAAGGGAAACAGCCCAGACCACCAGCUAAGGUCCCAAAAUAUAUGUUAAGUGGAAAAGGAUGUGGCGUUGCCCAGACAACUAGGAUGUUGGCUUAGAAGCAGCCAUCAUUUAAAGAGUGCGUAAUAGCUCACUAGUCGAGUGACACUGCGCCGAAAAUGUACCGGGGCUAAACAUAUUACCGAAGCUGUGGAUUGUCCUUUGGACAAUGGUAGGAGAGCGUUCUAAGGGCGUUGAAGCAUGAUCGUAAGGACAUGUGGAGCGCUUAGAAGUGAGAAUGCCGGUGUGAGUAGCGAAAGACGGGUGAGAAUCCCGUCCACCGAUUGACUAAGG
rnacentral:rRNA from 1 species